UACGAAGGGGGCUAGCGUUGCUCGGAGUCACUGGGCGUAAAGCGCACGUAGGCGGAUUGUUAAGUCGGGGGUGAAAUCCUGGAGCUCAACUCCAGAACUGCCUUCGAUACUGGCGAUCUUGAGUCCGGGAGAGGUGAGUGGAACUCCGAGUGUAGAGGUGAAAUUCGUAGAUAUUCGGAAGAACACCAGUGGCGAAGGCGGCUCACUGGCCCGGUACUGACGCUGAGGUGCGAAAGCGUGGGGAGCAAACAGG
rnacentral:rRNA from 1 species